rnacentral:tRNA from 1 species
GGUCCGGUGGCAGAGUGGUCAUGCGGAGGCCUGCAAAGCCUUUUACGUCGGUUCGAUUCCGGCCCGGACCUCCA